GCAGAGGCCAGACUUGUUCACAGCAAGCUGCUGGACUGAUCCUUGAGGCCCCCUGAUAUUCAGGAGCUAUGGGGGUAAAUAUUCUCUAAACUCAGAGAACUGAAGGGGACUUGGGCCUUCACACUCCUGCUGCCAUGACGACAUUUGCCAAUUUCCCUCCAAAAUGCUUGGGAACACUCACUGCUUUCCAGCAUCUCUUGGAGCAGUCUGCAGCUGUGGUGCCCAGCCUAGCCCUCUAAGCUUUGUGUCACUCUCAAUCUGUCUUGGAAACAGGCACAUGGCUGGACAGUCGGCUGCCUCUGGUUGGGGCCAGUGACAGCUCUCCUACCUCUCACCUCUUGCCCGGAGAGUUGGCAGCCAAGUCAGGCCCCAUGACUCCAGACACAGGGGUGGAGCCUGGUGUGGGCACUGUGGGGAGGGCUUGUCGAAAGUGACCACUUACAGCCCUGAGCCUCAGCUCCUGGACACCUGGCUGGAAGUUGGCUGUCCUGCUUCCUGUGACCUUGGGGGCUUGAACGGGACAGGGAGCAGGGCACUGAGACUCUCCUUCCCCAGCCUUUUUCCCUUAAUCGCUACCCCGCCCUCUACCGUCCUAGACUGCUUCCUGGGCCAGGACUGGUUGGCCUUUUCCUUCCCCAGUUGUGGGGAGGAGGGUGUAGCAGCCCUAGUCGCCUUCGGGGGACAUGGAGCCCAGGAGGGUGGGGCCUCGGGUGGCCGCGGGGUCGGGGACGGCUGCGGAGCUCGUGUACCACCUAGCGGGGGCCUUGGGCACUGAGCUGAAGGAGCUGGCGCGCCGCUUCGGGCCGGAGGCGGCGGCCGGGCUCGUGCCGCUGGUGGUGCAGGCGCUGGAGCUCCUGGAGAAGGCGGCCGUGGGGCCCGCCCCGGACUCGCUGCAGGUAUCCGCGCAGCAGGCCGAACUCGAGCUGCGGCAGCUGCGGCAGGAGAACGAGCGCCUCUGCAGAGAGUUGCGCUCUGGGCCACAGGAGGAGCGCGCUCUGCUGCGGCAGCUCAAGGAGGUGACCGACCGCCAGCGGGAUGAACUCCGGGCGCACAACCGCGACCUGCGGCAGCGCAGCCAGGAGACUGAGGCGUUGCAGGAGCAGCUGCAGCGCCUCCUGCUGGUGAAUGCGGAGUUGCGGCACAAGCUGGCCGCAGUACAAACUCAGCUGCGCGCCGCGCGGGACCGCGAGAGCGAAUCAGAGCGGCGGCGCGAAGCGACCUUGGAGCCCGCGCCAGAGCAGGCGCACGGCCAGGCCGCGGCGCCCGGGUGCGAGCAGAGGCAGGAGCCCGAGACGGCAGCCACGGGCACAGGAGCCCCGGGGACCCCUGAGGACCGGGCGGAUGCCCUGCCGCCGCCAGGACGCCCCCCCAAGGUAGGGCAGUGCGGCUUCAGUCGAGAGGAGGUUGAACAGAUCCUUCAGGAGAGGAAUGAGCUCAAAGCCAAUGUGUUCCUGCUGAAGGAGGAGUUGGCCUACUUCCAGCGGGAGCUGCUCACAGACCACCGGGUCCCUGGGCUUCUGCUUGAAGCCAUGAAGGUGGCUAUCAGGAAGCAACGAAGGAAGAUCAAGGCCAAGAUGUUAGGGACCCCAGAGGAAGCAGAGAGCAGGUAAGUCCCUGCCUCCAUUCCCCCUGAGCCUGGUCACCUUCUGAGCCUGUUGCCUCAGACUGUACCUGUCACCCCAAUCUAGUCACACCUUGAGCCUGUCACCUAGCUUAGUCACUUCUAGAACCUAACCUGGCCUGGUCAUCCCCUGAGCCUGCCGUCCUGAGCCCACCACCCUUCUCUCUGGAUCGCACUGCUCCCACCUGCCAUGCUCCCCGUACAUCCUGCUGAAGAAACCUGCUGAUUCUGCUUCUCCACAGUCAGUUUUCGGCUUCUUGUCUUGGCCGCAUAUCUGUUUGUCCUCAGAUGGGUAAGGCUGUAUCUGCAGUCUUGUCAGGGGCCUGCUGUGUGUCAGGCUAGAAAAUAAAAGCCUCAGGAGGGGGCUUCCCUGGCGGGCCAGUGGUUAAGACUCCGUGCUUCCACUGCAGGGGGCACGGGUUCGAUCCCUGGUCGGGGAACUAAGAUCCCGCACGCCGUGGGGCACGGCCAAAAAGAAAAAAAAUCCUCUAGUUGUCCUCCGUCUCCCCUGCUCUUCCUUGUCUCCAGCUUUGGGGCCCCUGAAGUCUCUUUGUCCUCCCCUGCCUGCUGCUGGGGGCUGCACAGAAGGCUGAACAUAGCUGGAGUCCCACUGUCCCUCAGGGCCUUGACAAAUGACCCUCACAACUCCUCUCUCCUCUGCCUCAGUGACGAUGAGGAUGGCUCAUGGCUCCUGCUCUCCAGGGAUAAGGGAGACCACCUCCAGCCCCCACCCCCUGAGUCCAGAAUACAGAGUUUCUUGGGCCUGUGGUGUCAGGGUGGAACAGAGGCC